CGGCGUGCCUAAUACAUGCAAGUCGAACGAGUUCUCGUUGAUGAUCGGUGCUUGCACCGAGAUUCAACAUGGAACGAGUGGCGGACGGGUGAGUAACACGUGGGUAACCUGCCCUUAAGUGGGGGAUAACAUUUGGAAACAGAUGCUAAUACCGCAUAGAUCCAAGAACCGCAUGGUUCUUGGCUGAAAGAUGGCGUAAGCUAUCGCUUUUGGAUGGACCCGCGGCGUAUUAGCUAGUUGGUGAGGUAAUGGCUCACCAAGGCGAUGAUACGUAGCCGAACUGAGAGGUUGAUCGGCCACAUUGGGACUGAGACACGGCCCAAACUCCUACGGGAGGCAGCAGUAGGGAAUCUUCCACAAUGGACGCAAGUCUGAUGGAGCAACGCCGCGUGAGUGAAGAAGGCUUUCGGGUCGUAAAACUCUGUUGUUGGAGAAGAAUGGUCGGCAGAGUAACUGUUGUCGGCGUGACGGUAUCCAACCAGAAAGCCACGGCUAACUACGUGCCAGCAGCCGCGGUAAUACGUAGGUGGCAAGCGUUAUCCGGAUUUAUUGGGCGUAAAGCGAGCGCAGGCGGUUUUUUAAGUCUGAUGUGAAAGCCCUCGGCUUAACCGAGGAAGCGCAUCGGAAACUGGGAAACUUGAGUGCAGAAGAGGACAGUGGAACUCCAUGUGUAGCGGUGAAAUGCGUAGAUAUAUGGAAGAACACCAGUGGCGAAGGCGGCUGUCUGGUCUGUAACUGACGCUGAGGCUCGAAAGCAUGGGUAGCGAACAGGAUUAGAUACCCUGGUAGUCCAUGCCGUAAACGAUGAAUGCUAGGUGUUGGAGGGUUUCCGCCCUUCAGUGCCGCAGCUAACGCAUUAAGCAUUCCGCCUGGGGAGUACGACCGCAAGGUUGAAACUCAAAGGAAUUGACGGGGGCCCGCACAAGCGGUGGAGCAUGUGGUUUAAUUCGAAGCAACGCGAAGAACCUUACCAGGUCUUGACAUCUUUUGAUCACCUGAGAGAUCAGGUUUCCCCUUCGGGGGCAAAAUGACAGGUGGUGCAUGGUUGUCGUCAGCUCGUGUCGUGAGAUGUUGGGUUAAGUCCCGCAACGAGCGCAACCCUUAUGACUAGUUGCCAGCAUUUAGUUGGGCACUCUAGUAAGACUGCCGGUGACAAACCGGAGGAAGGUGGGGAUGACGUCAAAUCAUCAUGCCCCUUAUGACCUGGGCUACACACGUGCUACAAUGGAUGGUACAACGAGUUGCGAGACCGCGAGGUCAAGCUAAUCUCUUAAAGCCAUUCUCAGUUCGGACUGUAGGCUGCAACUCGCCUACACGAAGUCGGAAUCGCUAGUAAUCGCGGAUCAGCACGCCGCGGUGAAUACGUUCCCGGGCCUUGUACACACCGCCCGUCACACCAUGAGAGUUUGUAACACCCGAAGCCGGUGGCGUAACCCUUUUAGGGAGCGAGCCGUCUAAGGUGGGACAAAUGAUUAGGGUGAA
rnacentral:rRNA from 2 species